GCUUUUCAUAUGUUCUUAGACUUUCAAAACUAUCGGUUAUGGUCAAAGUCAAUGAAGGUUCUGCUAGUAUCUUGUGCAUUGUGGACAGUACUUAAAUACGUAUCGUUACCAGUAAGGUGUACGUACUGACGGUGGACUGUUAGUAUCCACGCAUACAAUUCACCCAGCAGUCAGAAGUUCAAUACUGAGAAAUUCCAUGUUUAUUAGUAUAUCUUUACC
rnacentral:lncRNA from 1 species